AUACGUAGGUGGCAAGCGUUGUCCGGAUUUCCUGGGUGUAAAGGGCGUGUAGGCGGAGAUGCAAGUCAGGAGUGAAAUCUAGGGGCUCAACCCCUAAACUGCUUUUGAAACUGUAUCCCUUGAGUAUCGGAGCGGCAGGAGGACUUUCUAUGGGACGGGGGAAAUGCGUAGAUAAUAGGAGGAACACCAGUGGCGAAGGCGGCCUGCUGGACGACAACUGACGCUGAGGCGCGAAAGCGUGGGGAGCAAACAGGAUUAGAUACCCUGGUAGUCCACGCUGUAAACGAUGAAUACUAGGUGUGGGGGGACUGACCCCCUCCGUGCCGCAGUUAACACAAUAAGUAUUCCACCUGGGGAGUACGAUCGCAAGAUUGAAACUCAAAUGAAUUGGCGGGG
rnacentral:rRNA from 1 species